UGCGUAGGCGGCGCGGUAAGUCGGGUGUGAAAUCUCGGAGCUUAACUCCGAAACUGCAUUCGAUACUGCCGUGCUUGAGGACUGGAGAGGAGACUGGAAUUUACGGUGUAGCGGUGAAAUGCGUAGAUAUCGUAAGGAAGACCAGUGGCGAAGGCGGGUCUCUGGACAGCUCCUGACGCUGAGGCACGAAGGCCAGGGAGGCAAACG
rnacentral:rRNA from 1 species